rnacentral:rRNA from 1 species
AAAUUGAAGAGUUUGAUCAUGGCUCAGAUUGAACGCUGGCGGCAGGCCUAACACAUGCAAGUCGAACGGUAACAGGAAGCAGCUUGCUGCUUUGCUGACGAGUGGCGGACGGGUGAGUAAUGUCUGGGAAACUGCCUGAUGGAGGGGGAUAACUACUGGAAACGGUGGCUAAUACCGCAUAACGUCGCAAGACCAAAGAGGGGGACCUUCGGGCCUCUUGCCAUCAGAUGUGCCCAGAUGGGAUUAGCUAGUUGGUGAGGUAACGGCUCACCAAGGCGACGAUCCCUAGCUGGUCUGAGAGGAUGACCAGCCACACUGGAACUGAGACACGGUCCAGACUCCUACGGGAGGCAGCAGUGGGGAAUAUUGCACAAUGGGCGCAAGCCUGAUGCAGCCAUACCGCGUGUAUGAAGAAGGCCUUCGGGUUGUAAAGUACUUUCAGCGGGGAGGAAGGUGUUGUGGUUAAUAACC